rnacentral:tRNA from 1 species
UCCCUGGAGGACUAGUGGUUAGGCCACAGCGCUCACACUGCUGUGGCCCGUGUUUGAUUCCUGGCCAGGAAA